rnacentral:rRNA from 1 species
UACGGAGGGGGCUAGCGUUGUUCGGAAUUACUGGGCGUAAAGCGCACGUAGGCGGCCUUGUAAGAUGGGGGUGAAAUCCCGGGGCUCAACCCGGGAACUGCCUUCAUGACUGCAAAGCUAGAGGAUGCGAGAGGUUAGCGGAAUUCCGAGUGUAGAGGUGAAAUUCGUAGAUAUUCGGAAGAACACCAGUGGCGAAGGCGGCUAACUGGCGCAUUUCUGACGCUGAGGUGCGAAAGCGUGGGGAGCAAACAGG